UACGGAGGAUGCAAGCGUUAUCCGGAAUGAUUGGGCGUAAAGCGUCCGCAGGUGGCUGUGUAAGUCUGCUGUUAAAUAGUGAGGCUCAACCUCAUAAAGGCAGUGGAAACUACACGGCUAGAGUGCGUUCGGGGCAGAGGGAAUUCCUGGUGUAGCGGUGAAAUGCGUAGAGAUCAGGAAGAACACCGGUGGCGGAAGCGCUCUGCUAGGCCGCAACUGACACUGAGGGACGAAAGCUAGGGGAGCGAAUGGG
rnacentral:rRNA from 1 species